GAGCACUGUUCUGAACCCGAGUGGACUUUUCAUUGGUCAUUCAUAGGUCCAGACGAGUGCAAGAUCAAACCAAGUCUUGUUAUAACUGGGGUUUCUUGGCAAUUUUACCAAGUCUCUCUUUUAAAGCAAGACACAAAU
rnacentral:snoRNA from 11 species